rnacentral:rRNA from 1 species
CCUACGGGUGGCAGCAGUCGAGAAUCAUUCACAAUGGGGGGAACCCUGAUGGUGCGACGCCGCGUGGGGGAAUGAAGGUCUUCGGAUUGUAAACCCCUGUCAUGUGGGAGCAAAUUAAAAAGAUAGUACCCCACGAGGAAGAGACGGCUAACACUGUGCCAGCAGCCGCGGUAAUACAGAGGUCUCAAGCGUUGUUCGGAAUCACUGGGCUUAAAGCGUGCGUAGGCUGUUUCGUAAGUCGGGUGUGAAAGGCGCGGGCUCAACCCGCGGACGGCACAUGAUACUGGGAGACUAGAGUAAUGGAGGGGGAAGCGGAAUGCUCGGUGUAGCAGUGAAAUGCGUAGAUAUCG